AAAGACACACAAAUUUAAUGAGCUGUCACUUAUGGUACAUAUAAAAUCGGCAGGAGGUCAUUCAUUUUAUAAUGAGCUGUUCUAUGUCAGACCUACCAUGUAAACAAAAACAACCUGAAGUUUCUGUUGGUACAUAUUGAUUUUUUUCUGAAUAAUGCAGUUUGCACAACCAUUGUGAAAAAGGCAUGAACCUUAAGUUACAUACAACACAGUUUGCAUUUGCAUUUUUUCUUUCACUUAGGUAAUAGACUGGAAAUAUUAUCAUUUAACAUGUGUUUUUUACGUGUUGACCAUAAGUUUGUGUGCAGGAAAUCCUUUGCAGGAAGGGCAAUCAACAAAGAGCCAUUUUCUAUGUACAUAAAUCUCUGGAAGUUGCAGAGCAUAUUUGAGAGGAUGGUUAAAAGUGUCUAUAAAACCCUAGGUACAAAAACAGGGAGGUUGCAUCAAAAUGUUAGAAAGUGCUAGUUGAGCCAUGACUAAAAUACAGCAUCAAUUUUAGUCACCACACUUCAGGUAGUAUUUGAAACUCUGAGGGAAGGUAGAGAAAAGAUUUACUACAGUACUCCAGAUGAAAACUGAAAAGUUAAUCUGUUCUGCACGUGCUGGCUGACAUGCUACAUUUUACUAUUAUUUAUGCUUUGUUUCAGAUUUCCAGCAUUUUUUUUUCUUUUUCAAUAUACCAAAAGGGAACAGGAAUUUUCAGGUAUAAGGUUAGACUGGAAAAGCUGGGUUUGAUGACCUUGGAACAAUAAAUGGUAAAAGGAGACUUGAUCAUGUGAUUCAAGUAAUGACUGGCAAAUAAGAGAGGCUCUUCCCAUUAGCAAAUCAUUCAUUAAUGAGGAGAAGUUGGAAGAGGUGGGUGCAAAAUAAUGGAAGGAUGCGAGGAAACCUAUUUAUUUUCUGACCAGAGUCCUUAGGAUGGUGAAACUCACUGCUUGUUCAGGCAGAAAUGUGAUUGACAUUUCAGGAAAAAACAUAACUUGGAGGGUUAUAGGGAAUAGAGAUGAUAGGAUUAAUCUACAGACCGAACCAGUUGAGAGACCUUCUUUGGUACCACAACAAGUCUACGAUUCAUUGACUAUUCCUGUCAAACAUUGGGAAUGAGUACGGAUGGGAUGACCUUAUACAUUCACUAAUCCCACAAAGGUAUACACUUUUCCCCACAGGCAUUUUUUGAAAAGCAAUUAGAAAAGCGAACCUUGGCAAUCUCUCCGUCACCCACCCACUUGCCUACCCUGUGUUUAUUUGUUAAUCUUUGUUUAUUUAAAAAAAAUAUAUAUCCUGCAACCCAUAGAUGCCGAGGCUAAUUGUAAAGUCCCCCACCCCCCCAAACUACCACCCAGGCUGAGAAAAGCAAACUCACAUUUGGUCAAGAAUUGACCCUUGUUUCUUCUAGUCCAUUUGCUAUGAGGUGAACAUGUACACUAAGACCACACAAGCAGCAAUUUCUUUGCAAUGUAGCUUUACUUAGUUGUGGCAUCAUUUCUAUGGCAAACAAAUAAUGGGGGAUAAAGCCAAGCUUUGGAGUGUUCUGCUUCCAAAAUCAGUUUAAGUUGGCUGUGGAAAAGGCAAUGAUAAAGCUUUCACAUAGAAGGCUUAUCCAAUGUUUCCUGGCAGACAGAUUAAGAAGGGUAGUUGCCUUUUAGUAUCUUUAAGGGUAUAAAGAGCUUUAUUGCUGUUCCUAUUUAGAGCUUUAGUGACAUUAAGAAAAACAGCUGCUAAAUUGAGGAAGCACUAAAAAGCAGCAGUGGAUAAAUUAAGGUAAUAGCAGGUACCUUCAAAGAGGAAUAGCACUGUUUUAAAGCAAUUAUGUAGAAAAUCUCAUUUUAUACCGUGUUCGGAAGCAAAUUGACAGAAAGCCAUCAGAGUAUUUUGAAAGAAACUGUUUUGUUUAAUUUGUUGAAGCUAAUGGAACAAUUUGAGAGAAGUCGGUGUCUGCAAAAAAACUCUGUCUUUUACUGAAUUGUAUUGCAAGAUACAGCACUGUCUGAUGUAGGCUUAGAUAUUUAAUAUUGUGCAAUACGAGAAGCCAGCAAGUCUUGGAUGGAGAAUGAUGACCUGAUGUUUUCCAGCACAAGAACUUUUCAGGAGCAGUACAAUGUAGUACAUAUACUAUCCAGGACAUUUUUAGGGAGUGAUGCCUCAAACAGGUGGCAUUUAUCAUUCAGGACCCCCAUCACCCAGGUCAUGCCUUGUUCCAUUACUACCAUCAGCAAGGAGGUACAGAAGCCUGAAGGCACACACUCAGCGAUUCAGGAACAGCUUCUUCGCUCUGCCGUCAGAUUUCUGAAUGGACAUUAAAACCACCAAUGCUGCCUCACUGCUUUGUUUAUUCCUAUUCUUGCACUACUUAUUUUAUAUUACUAUUUUACUUACUCCAAUUCACUUUUUUCCUGAUGUUAUGUACUACAUUGUAAUGCUGCCGCAAAGAAAAUAAAUCUCAUGGCAUACUCUGG